UUUUUUUCCAGGUCAAACGUGAAUAUAUACGAGAAGAUGGUCGCCAAAAGUGGGCUGGGUGGCCCACUGCCCACUACGGAGCACUAGAGGCGCUCGUGCACCUUAGUGCAUAGUGUCCACCUUGUAGCCCCCCUUUGGUACUUCUUUUUCCUGUAUUAUUUAUUUAUUCCGUCAAAAAACUCUGUGGAGUUGAGCCCAUUUGGAGAUAUGAAGAAUAGGUAUAUCUGACGUAGCUUUUUCAGGUCCAGAAUUCCAUCUUCCGACAUUCUCCCUCUUGGUCUAAACCUAACAUAUUAUGAGAGAAAAGGCAUUAGAAUUACUCCAUAAAGUGGUAUAAAGCAUAAAAACACUAUAAAUAACUGUAGCAAAACUUGAUGGAAAAUGGAAGUGUAAACUUCCCCAAGCUUAGACCUCGCUUGUCCUCAAGCGAAAGCCGAUAACGAAAAUCAUGACCACAUGCUUUGAGAGAGAUGUGUCGAUAAAAAACAAUAUGGACAUAGUAGCAUCAUGCUCAUUAUAAUAAAAGAAAUAAACUUUAUAAAAUACUUCAUCACAUCAUUUUCAUCAUAUAACUUUCAUCCUAAAAAUUUCUCAUAAACAUGUAACAAUUCAUCACAACAUCGAAGUAUGAAACAUAAAAUUUGUUGAAAACUAAAACUACAUUUUCACUCAACUUUGCAACACAAUUCAUCACAUUUUCAGGAAGGGUCACGUAUCGGAGCUUUUAACAAUGUCUACAUACUGAACCAUUAUUUAGUGUUCUAUUAUUGCUAACACUGACGGCAUACAUAUGAGCUAAAGGUUUCCACCGGACACAUAGAAACAUAGGGGCUUAAAGUGUGGCCUCCCGAUAUAUUCACCUCAAGGGUGAUUCCAACAAUUAAAACUCAUGACCACCCACAUUCAACUGUAUAUAUAUGCCUAGAUCUUUCCCCGCCACAUGAUGCUUGCAAAAGAGAAAAUAAAAAGGAGUAGAGAAGAAUACUUUGACUCUUGCAUAAAAGUAAGUACAUAAAAGUAAAAGAUAGGCCCUUCGCAAAGGGAAGGAGAGGUUGUCAUGCGCUUUUUGGUUGUAUGCCAAAUCCCUUAGUGUAGAGGAACAUUACUAUAUUGCCCCUUAUGAUAGCAACCUUUAUUAUGCAGUUUAUCUUUUUAUCAUCUCCAUCACUAGUCCGUACACUGCUUAAUUUCCCUUACACUAAAUGAUUGAACACGUUUAGAAGCAAUUUUUGUAGCCUUUUGCACCGAUGACAACUUACUUGAAGGAUCUUACUCAAUCCAUAGAUAGGUAUGGUGGAAUAUAAAAACAUGGAUUUGGGUUUAAGGUUUUGGAUGCACAAGUAGUAUCUCUACUUAGUGCAGAGUUUUGGCUAGCAAAGAUAUUGGGCAAGCACCACUUGUUAGAGGAUAUAUAGCAAUAUAACUUCUAGGUGAAUGCGAACAAACUUAAAUCAUUACAUUGUCUUCCUUGUCCAAAGCCAAUAGGUUUGGCAUACUAUAAAUAAUGGGGGCUCACAAUCAUCAAAAAAUGUCAAGAAUAGUGUAUUUCCAUGUAAAUAUUCUCGUCCCUUAUUAAUUCUUUCAUGUGUUGCAUCACCGACCAAUGAUGUGUUUGUCAACCUUCAACAAAUUGUACCACUCAUACUUUUAGUUAUGUGGUGUCACUACUUACUAUAAGAUUAGCAUACGAUCUUUUUCAUUAUUUUUUGUUUAUUUUGAUUGCCACAAGAAAGUAAAGAAGCAAAGACUCAAACUAAACUUUAUUAUAUAACUUUCACACGAUUAGAGAAAUAGAUAGAUCGCGAAACUAGCACUCAAAAAGUUGGAUCGAACUAAAUAUUUAUCUAACUAAAUCACAAAAUAACUAUAGAUCGAACUAAUAUGGAUAAAGAUAAUAACAAUGGUGGUGAUAAGAUACCGGGGCAACUCCCCCAAGCUUGGAACAAGCCAAGGGGAGUGCCCAUACCCUCAAGUCUCCUUCUUUGGUGAGGAAGAUGAAGGUGGUGGUCGUGUAGAUGAUGAUGUAUAAGAAAAAUGUAGCCUCAAGAGGUUAUCUAGUCAUCGAAUAAUGCUCCGAAGGCCGAUGAUGUGCUCCUUUAACAAAAUAUUUUCAGGAGUAAGGUUUUUAUUCUAAACACGAACCAUUUCAAAGACUCUAAAGUCUUCGAUUUUAGUAGGGGUGAGAUGCUCAUAGUAGGGCUGGAGGUAAUCUUCUUCCUCCUCUUCUUUUACCUGCAUGGCAUGCCCCUCUUCUCGAGGUUGACCCCCCUUUACUUCCUCACCCUUGUUCUCCUUGGUGGCUUCUACUUGUUCCUCCUUAUUCAGUUCCAUCUUCAUUAGCCAAGAAUCCUCUUCUACGUGGUUGGAGGAGGGAAAAGACAUGAUGCCCGACUUGAUAGUUCUAACAGAAAGACAACAUGAAACAGGAACAUAGGAUUUCUUUCUGGUACAAAAGUCAAAUUAACAGGAUAUAUAUAUAUAUAUAUAUAUAUAUAUAUAUUUAUAUAGGGAAAUACUUGUCCUACAAGAAAACAAAGCCAGGAAGGUGCCCGAGGGGCCCACUACCCACCAGGGCACGCCAGGUGGGGAUGGAGCGCCCUGGUGCCUAGUGGACACUUGGGUUGACUUCCCUUGUGUUUAUGAAUUUCCUAAUUUCUGUAAUAUUCCAAGAACAACAAAACAUAUGUUUGCGGAUUUUUUCGGAGUCCAUUUACUGAUCAUAUCACAUAGCUCUUCCUUUUAAGGGUCCUGUUGUGUUCUGGAUAGUCUCCUUUAUGUACUACUACGGUGUCCUGGUUUGAAUAAUACUUGUUUCAACAUUAAUAGGUGUUCGUGAAAUAUAGUUCUUUAUUCUUUUUCCAUUGACCACCUUCGGGUUAGUGCCUUCGGGAUUAUUGAUCUUAAUAGCUCUAGACCAAUAAACUUCUUCGAUGAUAUAUGGUACUUCCCAUUUGGAAAGAUGUUUUACUACAGAAAAUCUAAGACGGGAAUUGUAAAAUAGAACAUAUUCACCAAAUUUGAAUUCUUGCUUUUCGAUUCUUUUGUCAUGCCAUCUUUUAACCUUUUGUUUGACUAGUUUGGCAUUUUCAUAAGCUUGGGUUGUCCAUUCAUCUAGUGAGCUAAUACCAAAUAACCAGUUUUCACCAGCAAGUUUGAAAUCAUAGUUGAGUUCUUUAAUUUCCCAAUAAGCUUUAUGUUCUAACUCAAGAGGUAAAUGACAUGCUUUUCCAUAAACCAUUUUAUAAGGAGACAUAGCCAUAUGAAUUUUAUAAGCUAUUCUGUAGGCCCACAAUGCAUCAUGUAAUUUCUUAGACCAAUUCUUGCGGGACCUAUUGACAGUCUUUUGCAAUAUUAAUGUUAUUUCUCUAUUGGAUGUUUAUACUUCACCACUAGAUUGAGGAUGAUAGGGAGAUGAAAUUCUAUGGUUAACAUCAUGUCUAGCAAGCAACUUACGAAAAGCACCAUGAAUAAAAUGUGAACCACCAUCAGUCAUUAAAUAUAUAGGGACUCCAAGACAUGGGAAAAAAACUUCAUUAAGCAUUUUAGUAGAGGUGUUAUAAUCAAUAGUACUGGUUGGAAUAGCUUCUACCCACUUAGUGACAUAAUCAACAACAACCAAAAUAUGUGUAUUCCCAUCAGAAGAAUGAAAAGGUCCCAUAUAAUCAAAUCCACAAACAUCAAACGGUUAAAUAACAAGUGAAUAUUGAUAGGAAUUUCUUGACAUCUACUAAUAUUACCAAUUCUUCAACAUUCGUCGCAAGAGAGGACAAACUUAUGAGCAUCUUGAAAAGAGUAGUUCAAUAAAAUCCAGACUUUAAUAGCUUGUGUGCAGUUUUAUCCCCCACAUGGUGCCCUCCAUAAGCCUCAGAGUGACACUUCCGAAGGAUUUGUUCCUAUUCAUGCUCAGGUAUACAACAUCUAAUAAUACCAUCUACUCCUCUUUAUAAAGAUGUGGGCCACCCAAAGUUAAUGUAUUAAAUCGAAGAAGAUUUUUUUCAUUUGCUGAUAGAUGAAACUAGGUGGUAUGUAUAUAGCAACAAUGUAAUUAGCAUAAUCAGUAAACCAAAGUAUGUUAUGGUAAACAUUGACCAUAGCUACUUGUUCAUGAGGGAAGCUACCAUUAAUAGGUAGUGGAUCAUCAAGAAUAUUUUCUAACCUAGACAUGUUAUUAGCUACGGGGUUCUUAGCUCCUUUCCUAUCAAUGAUAUGCAAAUCAAAUUCUUGUAGCAAAAGAACCCACCUAAUAGGUCUAGGUUUAGUCAUCUUUAUUUUCCAUAAGAUAUUUAAUAAAAACAUGAUCAGUGUGAAAAAUUACUUUAGAAUCAACAAUGUAGUAUCUGAAUUUAUCACAAGCAAGUACAACUGCUAAGAAUUCUUUUUCAUUAGUAGCAUAAUGUUAGAGCAUAUUUCUCCAUGUGUGGUUUUGGUAAUUGAUGACAAUCCCUAUGUACCAAUGGUUGCCUUGAGUUAUAUUCAAAGGAUUUGUGUAUAUGCAUUUCUUGAAGUCCAUCUAUUGGUUUCAAGGAGUUUAUAUGAUGACCAAGGUGGUAUUCACGAAUUUAUUCGAAGAUCGGUCAUAAAGGCACUAGGUUGAUCAAGACUAAGUCAAAGACUGAAUCAAGUCGAUCAAACACAAAGCAUACAAGAUGUACCGACAGGGCUCAAGCGAUAUCAUGGUAUGGCGUGUUUCCAUGGGCUUGCGUCAAUAGGAAAAUAUCAUACAACCCAUGGAGGAUGACAUCAAGUGGUGAUCGUCAUCAAGUUUGCGGUGUCCAAGUUCAAGUGGAGCAUCACGGAGAUAUCAUGCUUGAAUCUUGCCGUCCAUUGUGGUGGCAAUGGACUUGUGAAGACGUGCUAAAGAGUGGCUAACCCCUAGUGAGUAUGGUGGAUAAUUCAACUAGUCUUCAUCAAGCCAACACAAUUAAGAAAGGGGGUCCACGUUGAGGAAGUCAAGAUUGUCAUCAUCUUGCUCAUGUGUAAUAUGUGGAAGUUAUAGGUUUGCCCUUGAUAAGUUUUCUAUUUUAAGGACAGAUGAUCGUACUGUCAAGGGGGGGCUCUCAACUGAGUAGCUUGAUCGUACCAUUCAUCUAGAGCUCAAACCACUUGCAUUCUUGAAUCAUAUUUCUUUGUUCUUAUUUGGUGGUUCUCUUUGUGAGUUGUAGAGCUUAUGGUGAUCUUUAUGACAAGCUCGAGUUCAUAAAAAACGGAGUCCAUAUGCAUCUUCUAUGAUGUUUUCGAUGAUUGGAGUUUUUCUCGGUUCUUCAUUCAUAGAGGUUUCACAUCUCUAUAUCGGUUCCAUCUUUGCUCUUGGAUAGCUCUUGUCGUCCUGAAUCCAACAAGCUUGAGUUUGCUCAGUUCGGAGCUCGUAUGCGAAAGUUAUGGCAUUUUCGGUUUUGCUUGGGCUGAAGUACUUCUUUAAGUGGUAGUAGAGAGCGUAGUACCUCUCAAGAUAUACUACCUCUCCCCUGAGUGGUAGUACCACUUAAGCGGUACUUCCGCUGACCACUAACGGUUCAAGUUCCGCUUAUUUUAUUUUUCGGGUGUCCAAUCUGCUUGAGUGAUAGUACAACGGUAGUAGAGAGCACUAGCACCUCUCAAUCGGUACUACCUAUUUGACAGAACUACCACUUGUGUUUUCUAUCUCGUUGGGCUUUUUUGAUCGUGCUAAGUGGUAGCACCGCUCCCCCGAGUGGUAGUAUCGCUUGAGCACGACUUGUGGGCAUAAUGAUUGGAUUUUGGGAUGCCUAUUUAAGGGAGCCUUCUUCCCCAAUGGUCCCCAACUAUUAAUGUCAUUUUCCCCCAUUGUUGACCUUCUUUGUUCUUGCUAACUCUCAAUCCCUCGAAAGAUUCUUGAUGGUUCUUUAGGGAAAAGAGAGAGGAUAUCUAGAUCCACAUUUGCACCAAUCACUUUCUCCUCUUGGUGAGGGGAACCCCUUAGAUCUAGAUCCUGAAGUUCUUCGUGUUCUUCUUCAUUCUUCCUCUCAUUUUCUUCCGUAGCAUUAGUUGUUGUGGAGGGAUUUCGGAGAGAAGGACUUGGGCACUCCGUGUUCCCUUUCCAUUGCAUUUGGUGCUUAGGUUUAAGUCCUCCAUGGUGAUAUGUGGAAGUGAAGUUUGAGAAGCUUAUUACUCUUGGGUGCUUCGUACCCUAAUACUUGUUCUUCUUUGGUGCUUUGGCAUCCUAGAAGCUUGGUGUUGCCUUGGAGCUCAAUCAUUGUGGUGUAAAACUCCGGGCGAGCUUUAGGGUCUCCAAUUAGGUUGUGGAGAUUGCCCCAAGCAUUUGAGGUUACUUCAAAGCCAUAUUCCAUUAUGGUGAAGUUUUGUGGUGUUGUUGGGAGUCUCCAACUAAGUUGUGGAGAAUGCCCCAACCUUGUUUGUUCGGGUUCAGUGACCGUCCUCAAGGUUCCCUUAGUGGAAUAACAGCAUCUUGCAUUGUUCGAGGGUGUGAGGAUAUUAAGGUGGCCUUAGUGGCAUCUUGUCGAGCAUUGUGCCUCCACACCACUCCAAACGAAGAUUAGCAUCCGCAAGGGUGUAAACUUUGGGAUAUAUCGUUGUCUUUGCGUACCUCGGUUACCUCUUACCCGAGCUCUUUACUUAUGCACUUUACUUUGUGAUGUCCAUAUUGUUUCUUGUUAUAUAUCUUGAUAUCACUUAGUUGUUUAUCUUUCUUAGCAUAAGUUGUUAGUGCACAUAGAUGAGUCUAAUUGUUUUAGGUUUUAUGCUCGACAAAUUAAAUGUUAGUUUUAUUCCGCAUUUGUUCAAGCCUAAACCAUAAUUAUUUUAAAGCUCCUAUUCAUCCCCUCUAGGCGACAUCCAUGCCAUUUCAAUUGGUAUGAGAGCUAGGUCUCUCAUUAUUAGGUUUUACCAUAUAGAGAGUAAGGAUGUCGACUAGGGGAUUAGGAUUCUGUGAAACUCUUAGUUUCAAUGGCACCAAUUUUUAUGUUUGGGUAAUUCACAUGCUUAAUAUCUUUAGGGUCAUGGACCCAAAUUUAGAGCGAAUUGUAGAUAUGGGUUUUUCCCCUCCAAAGGAUUCUCAAACAAUAUCUUUAGAGGAUGAUAAAAACUCUUAUCUCAAUGCUCAAGCUUCUAAUGUGCUUUUUUAUGCUUUGAGCAAUGUAAUUAUAUUUCAACUCAUGCUAUUCCGGGCUGCUCAUGAGUUGUUGACAAAGCUUCAAGAUAAAUAUGGUGCAUCCAAGAUUUGUAGGGAGGAUUGUUCUCCCUCCACCUUCGGUCGUUUGGUCUUCUCAACUUCAUCUACUUCACCUACAUGUGGAUUGCCACAAGGUAAUGAUAUGGUGAGUAGUGGUGAUCAUUGCAAUGAUGAUAGUGGGCUUAUUGUUGAUGAUCCUUCAUCACUAUAUUAUUGCAAUGCUUAAUAUUUGUGCGUUAACACUUCGAGCACUCUAAAUGUUUUACAUGCUUGUGUUGAUAGUUCUUGCAUAUCAUGUAAAAACUGCUUGACUAAAUCUCAUGAUGUUAUGCUUUCUCUAUCUUGUUGCCAAAAUAAAAAUUUAUCUAUUUCCUCGAGUUGUUGUGCUAACAAUGUAGAGGAAAUCCAUCACUCCAUGAGACAAGAUCUGGCCUUGAAUGAUGCUUCAAGGAAUCGUACAUCAUCAUAUAUUGUUUCUCACUUUGCCUUAUGGCUAAGGCUUCAAAGGUAUCUCCUACUUUGAAUCCCAAUAUAUCUCAUGAUCAUGAUGUGGACGAUAAUGAGGAUGAGGAUAAUGAUGAAGAGAGUGAUAAUAUUGCAUCCUUCAAAAUUAAGGGUGAAAUGAUUUUUAAAUCUCUUCAUAAGAACAAAAUUGCUCGUUCCAACUUCCUGGAAAUCAUGUCUAUUGCGAUUGAGGGCAAGAAAUAUAUUGAGGAGUUGGAAGCUCGUCUCGAGGAGCGUGAGGCCACCAUUGAUAAAAUGGAAGGUCAUGAGCAUGAUUAUGCUAAUGAGAUCACGGAGCUAUCUCAAGCUCUUGAAAAUGAACAAACCACCAAGGAAUCUCUUAUGGAGACCUUUGCUCUAGAAUUAUCAAGCUUAAAGGAAUCCCAUGAUAGAGCUCUCGAGGUGGCUAAUGAUUUUAGAACUAAAAAUGAUAAGCUUGAAGUUGCACAUGCUAAACUCCUUGAGUACUAUGAGCACCUCGAAAAUGGAUCAAGGGCUAUUAAGAGUUCGCUCAUCGAACUCACCGAGGUUCAUGCUCAAGUUCAAGCUUCAUAUGCUAAAGAGCUAGCCAAGUUGCCUUCUCCUCUUGUUGUUAAUCAUGAUGCUUGUGCUACUAACUCUACUUCUUGUGAAACAUACAUAUUAAAGGAGUUGCUAUCUAUCAAUUAUGGGAAAUUGAAGGAAAGUCAUGUAAUGCUCACAAGCUCUUAUGAGGAUCUUCUAGUAUCCCAUAAUGUGGUAAAGUUAGCUCAUGAGGCUAAUACUACCAAGGUAACAUCAAGUUAGCCUCAUGUGGACAUUAGCACUACUUUUAGUCAAAAUGCUAUAUUGCCAGGUGCUAGUCCUCGUAAUUCAUCUACUCGUAAUGUUGCUACAUCUUGGGAUGAAUUACUUUCCUUGCCUUCUUUCUCUAACAACGAUGCUUAUACUUUAUCUAUUACUUGUGUUGAUACCAACCAUGUAGAAGACAUCAAAUAGCUCAAGCCCCAAGUCACUUCUUUGAAGAAAGUCUUGGAAAAGAGUCAGGAAGGGAUGUCCACACUCAACAAUGUCUUGUGUGGGCAAAAAUCCCAAAAUGUCAAAGAUGGACUUGGAUUCAACUAAAUCAAAAGAAGAAGUCCAAGAGCAACAAUAAGAAGGUCCAAGAACAAAUCAAGAACUCGACCAAGAUUGUUUGCUUCAAGUGCAAGAUUUAAGGGCAACAUGUAAUAUCUUGCCCUUUGAGUAAGAAGCCUCAUAGUCACAAGAAACAAGGAAAGCGGCCACAAGUUCAUUUACUUGCUCAAGUACAAGUUGUAGAAAUGCCUCUUCCCAAGAAGACCCAAGCCAAUGCUCCUCAAGUUGAGAAAUCAAUUGGGAAGAAAGGAAAGGGUAGAUGUUGCUACUUAUGUCGUGAGAAGGGUCACUUCGCUUCUUCCUGCAGGAAAUAUAACUUAUCCAACCCAAUCAUUAUUGAUGAUAUCUAUUCUCUUGGAAAUGAUAAGGUUGGCGGUGUGUUUUCCAAGUUUGUUGGUACUCAAAGUGGUUUCUAGAAAAGAACCAUUUGUGUAGCCAAGCCUAUUGUGACUAACCUCUUAGGACCCAACUUGGUUCGUGACCAACAAGCUCAAACUUGAUCAAUAGGUGAGGUUCGACAUCAUUGGAGGCUCGACUACAUCAUGAAGAAUUAAGUGAUCUUCAUCAUUCAUAUUAUCUCAAGCAAGGUCAUUUGGAUUAUCCAGUUUCUAUCUUAUAUCCAAUGUGCCUCCUUAAGGUAACUUGUACUUAAAUUGUUUACAUUCUUAGUUACUUGCCCCUUUUCAUGUUGUGGCUUUGUACCUUGCAUGUCUUUGUAUAUGUUGUGCUUCCAACUUGCUUAUCUUGAGUAAGCAAGUAUGUGUAUAUUGGUUUGACAUCAUGUACAUGUGAGUCCUGCGUUGAGCCUUUUUGCAUGUUGUUUGUAUCUUUUUUGAUUCUCGUGAGAGAUUAAGGGAUUAUCCCAUUUUGGGGGAGUGAUGUUCUUAGUUCACUUCACGAUCCUAAAUAUGUGUGUACAUGAGAAAUACCACUUAGUGUUGAUAUUUCAAGAUUAUCUAGUCUCUAUGUGGUAUGUCUUACUCAUAAGAAAUUCAAAUUCUAAAUGGUUCAUUAAUUAUCUCUUGUUGGUUUUCAUUUGCCACUUGUUAAUAAUGUUGAGUUUAUCGCAUUAUGGGGGAGUAAUAUGCUAUGUGCAUAUUACAGGCCUAGAAAAUGUGUAUAUUUGAGAUAUUGCCACUUACUGUUGAUAUUGUAUAUUAUCUUAUUCCUAGGUGGCAUGUUAGCUCUACAAGUGUCAUUUCCUUGUGUUUAUGGUGUAAAGAUGAUGUUGGAUAUAUUUGCAAUCUACCAAUGAGAAUUACUUCCAAAUACUUCUUGUCCUUUGACAAUUGGUAUUCCCCUCAUGUGGUAGAAAUUGCUAAUCAUCUUUACAUUGGAUCUUCUAUAUCGUUUGUCUUCCUUGACUCUUGUGGAUAUUUUUGAACAUGUCUAGUUUUUAUAUUAAUAUAGAUAAAGUGAUGAUCCCAUCUUGUGCACUUUUUAUUUAAAUGCAAAUUCUAUAUAAUGCACAUCGCUUGGGGAGCUAUCCUAUUUCUUUUAGAACACUCUCUUUAUGUGUUUAUCAUAAAAUAUGUUGAUCCCCAUCAAGCGUGCAUUGGUGGGAGGCAAGUAUUUUUCUUUAUGGAGCGUUGUGCCAUCAUGAAAAUUUGUCGAGGGUUUGUUUUUUUGGAACCUAGCUCUCUUUUGGAAACUAGAUACCUCGUCUUUUUUCCUUUUAUUUGUCAUGUGGUAAUGGAUAUCUCAUUCCUUGAUGUAUUUCUUAAUUGGUAUCCUUCAAGUGAUAAUUUUUCAUUUGAUGUCUGAUUAUCAAUUGAUACCUUGCCUUUUGGUGUCUUAGAACUAUGUGUUGAUUUGACUCUUGAAAGACUUGAGCAUGCAUAUUUACUAUAUGUAGUUUCUUUGGCAUGUUUUCUUUUUUGACCCAAUAUAUAGGGGAAACUCGACCAUGUCAUAAAUUGUCUAAAGUGUGCAUAAAAUUCAAUUUCAUAUCCAUAUGCACAUAUUUAUGUGGAGUUUGUCCUAUGUAUUGUUGGUUCCCUAACUCUUUAGCCCUAAUGAAUAUGGGCCCCAUUAUGUCUGUGUUGUUGUUCUAGGAACAAUUGGAGAUGCAUUGGAGACUCGACUCACUUACAAGGAAGGUGUUGACACCAUGUGCUUAUUGGAGCCAAGUUAGGAUGAUCGUCGAACAAUAAUCUACUCCAUCAAUCCUAUGCUAUCUCGGUAACAAGUAUCUACUUCAUGCAUACAUUUCUUGCAUUCAACCUUUCGUAGAUUGCAUCAUGGCAUGAAUUUCCUGAUUUGUUCUUUUGGUACUUGUUUGCUUUCUCAGAGCGUCCAAAUGUUGAUGUCUUAUUACUAGUUGUGAUGUGUUUGAUGUUUGUGAGUUGGAAGUUCAUUUAUGUACAAUAAGAAAAUAUUAGGCAAUGUGCUAUGCUUUCAAACAAAGAUCUGAUUGGUAUAUUUAUGACUUCCUUUUGAAUAUCUUGUUUGUUCCUUCUUGUAAUAAUUUCGUGUGUACAUCCUUCUUUGUGGAUAUAUAUCAUUAUGAUUGUAUUCUACAUAGAAUUUUAUACACAAGAGAGAUCUUACAACUCUAAUUGAUAUCCUCUUUUCUUUCACGUCCACCAUUGAAUUUUCUUUUUUAGUCUUUGGUGGUUUCGUGAAAGGAUUUGUCUUGAGUGCAGAUCUUAUAUCCUUGCAUCUUGAUGCACUCAUUGGUGGUGAAGAUUAUUUUUCCUCAUGCUUUUCUUGACGAGGCUUUUGGCAUUUCGAUUGGUAUCCCUCCUCGUGACAAGGUUAUUAUUUCCAAUCUUCGCCAUGGGUUGUCAUAAGUGUUGGUUCUUAACUUUUUUUUAGUAAGCUCGUGAACCCAUUUUCUAUUAAUGUAUGUGUGGCAAGGAUAUGUCUUGCACUUUGUUUCUAAUUUCAUCAAGACUCUAUUGAUGGGUAAUGCUCAUCCUUAUCUUAGUCUUCUAAAUUUCUUUUCCAUGACUCACACACAUCAUUUUGGUUGAGCCUAUUCUUAAGUUGCCUCUUUUACAUGUUACUCAACUAAAUGUUUUGUGAAAGUGUUAUCAUUAUUGUCUUAUAUACUUGCUUGCACCUGUUGUGUGUUUUUAUUAAUUUUGGGGGAUCAACGAUCCUAUUUUGUGCACUUGUAUCAAAUAAAAAAAAUCUUAUCACUGCAGAAAUCAUGGGGAGUUUCUCUUGUUUUGAUAAAACACUUCUUUGCCCAUAUUAUAAUAUCUUUUAUUCAUGUGGUUCGAAGGACCAUGUGAUUGCUUGUUCUUUUUGGUAUCUUCUGAGUGCUUGCUUAUCUCCUUUGUAUGUCUUUGUGACAUAUGAUCCUUUUUCCAAUCAUUGAGUCCUCGAUAUAGUUUGUUUUCCUCCAGCUGCUUACCAUUGUAUAUGUGUAUUUCUUUGCACUGAUUUGUUGAGAAGCACACACUUUUUGGAGGACCACAUAUUAUAUUAGCCUUCUAAACUUUUCAUCCAUUUUGGCAAUUGAUGCCAAUGAGGGAGAAGUUUAGAGAGUUUAGUUUGGAGAUAUUUAGAGAGUUUUGCUUUUAUUGCUUAAGCACUUGGAUCUCAUACCCAUGCAUUAUUGCUUUGCAUGUGUGUGCCUCUUUAUGCUUAUUUCUUUAUAUAAACUCUCUUGAAAGUGAUUGUCAUCAAUUACCAAAAUGGGGAGAUUGUUAGACCACAUUUCUUCAUGUGCGGUUUUGAUAAUUGAUGAAAAUCCCUAUGGACUAAUGGUUGCCUUGAGUUAUAUUCCAUGUAUAUGUUCAUAGGCGCUUCUUGAAGUCCAUCUGUUUGUUCCAAGAAGUUUAUAUGAUGACCAAGGUGGUAUUCAAGGUUUUAUCCAAAGAUUGGCCAUGAAGACACUAGAUUGAUCAAGACUAAGUCAAAGAGUGAAUCAUGUCGAUCAACACACCAAGCAUACAAGAUGUAGCGAGAGGGAUCAUGGGAUCUCAUGGUAUGGCGUGUUUCCAUGGGCUUGCGUCAAGAGGAAGAUCUCAUACAACCCAUGGAGCAUGACGUCAAGUGGUGAACAUCAUUAAGUUUGCGGUGUGCAAGUUCAAGUGGAGCAUCACGAAGAUAUCAUGCUUGAAGCUUGCCGUCCAUUGUGGCGGCAAUGGACUUGUGAAGAUGUGCUGAAGAGUGGCUCACCCAUAGUGAUGGGAAGGAACCAGAUCGUGAAGCAACUGCGGAAGAAUUGAAGAUGUUGCAAUACAACGCUCAAGCAUGGGACAUUGUGUUCAAUAUAUUAUGCCCCAAAUAAUUCAACAAGAUUAGUUGUCUUGAGAAUGCAAAAGAAAUUUGGGAUACUUUUGUUGAUAUGCAUGAAGGAACCAAAUAUGUGAGGGAAUCUAAGUUGGAUGUGUUACAAAGUCAGCUUUACAAGUUCAAGAUGAAGCAUGGUGAAGGAGUUGCUGAAAUGUACUCAAGGCCUGCUCUCAUCACGAAUGAGAUUGACAGCUUAGGAAGCGACGAGAUGACCGACAAAUUCAUCAUCAAGAAUAUCCUUACAGCCUUGGAUGGAAAGUACAACACCGUGUGCACAUUGAUCUAAUGUUCCCAAACUACAAAGAUCUCAAGCCUAGAGAAGUCAUUGGAAGGAGUGUUCCUCAUAAAGUUUCACUCAAAGAUAAAGAAGAACUCCAUAAGAGGUGCGUACGACGCUUAAGUGAUACGCCCACUAUCUCAAGUGAAAACCUUGUUUACAAUGAAGAGAUAAUCCUCAUGCUCAAGAUAUUCAACGAGUUCUACAAGAAUAGAGGCAAAGAAAGAAGCUCCAACUCAAGAUAUGAAGAGAAGCGUUCAUCUAGUCAUGACCGAAAUUGUUACAAUUGUGGAAGACAAAGACACUUUUCAAAUGAGUGCACGUACGCCUCCAAGAGAACAAAAUACUCACCUAGAAGAAGAAGCUCAAGAUAUGAGUCACCUCGAAGAGAGAGAAGGAGUAGAGAAGAUCUCUAUGAAUGAGGACCCUCCUGGAGAAGCAAGGACUCGGAGAAGAAGGACAAGUCCACCAAGAGCUAUGCAACAAUAAGACAUUAAGAGCAUGUUGGUGAAUGGAUAUCCGACUCAAAUCCGACAACCAAUACGAGAAAAGCUACCACUGCAACUCUGACUAUAUUCAAGAUGAAGGUGUUGCCCGACUAGAACUUGUUUCCUCCAACUCCUACAAUUUGUUUGAUUCAACAAAUGAAGGACUCUAAGGUUGCUUCAUGGCUAAAGGCCCCAAUUUAUCACACCCUGAAUAGUUUGACUUUAAUAGUGAUGAUGAUAAAUUACUAGGAGAAGUUGACUUGCUAAUUGAUGAAACUAGUGAUGCUAGUCAAAAUGAACUCGAUAAUAAUCUUGCUAGUCAAAAUAAGUCGUGUGAUGAUGAUAAGAACGAGAUUGAGCACCUAACUAAAAAAAAUAAACACUCUUAAGUUAGCUCAUGAAUCUACUCAAGAAGAUCAUAGAGAGCUUCUAAUAAUUCAUGAGAAGUUAUGCUUUGAGAAGUCAAAUUUAGAUAAAGAGCAUGAGUUUCUUAAUGGUAUCAAUGAAAAUCUUCAAAAGAAGACUUCUACUUAACUAGCCAAGCAAUUACUCUUGUCUACAUUUGUUCUAGAAGUUACAUCUAUGCAAACUAGUAACAAAGGCAUGGAAGGUUUUUCUUCUAGUAGCAACAACAAAAAUGCUAAAGCUAAUGAUGUUGAUUCUAGUAGUUCUACUGAUUCCACUAAUGAUUCUCUUAUUCAAGUUACACUUGAGAAAGAAAACGAUUUAUUGAAAGGAAUUAUAGAGAAAUGUGUCUACAAGAGUCUUGCGAAAGUAAUCGAUUUGAGGAGAUUGUGCGCAAGAAAGGAUUGCACCGGAAAAACCAAGGUAUUGGUUAUGAACGAAACUUCAAUGCCAACAGAGUUGAACGGGAAUAAGGUUAAUACGCCAAGACGAAGCUUGUUACCCAAAAGGAGAAGUAUGAUCCUACUAUCUCUUAGGGAAUAGAAGCUCAAGUUAAUCUUCCACCACAAGACCACACGCUCAAAGUAAAAGACAAGGUUCAAGAGGAGAUUGACUCAUUCAACAAAGAAUCUUAAGCCAUGGUCAAGUUGGUUCCCAAGGCCACUACUAUCUCUACUUAAUCAAGUGCUACCUCAACUGCAAGGAUCCCCAUCAAGUUGAUUUGGGCCACUGUCGGCGUCUAGGAUCUAUGUCCAUGAGCUUGUCAAAGAACUAUGAGUCAAACACUAGGGGCUUGGCUUCUGACCUGCAACACGAUGACAAACACAUCAAGAUAAACAGUGAACGCGUUCUGCCUCAUCGAAGACAAUGAAGACACAUAAUGUACCUAGGUUCAGGCAGCGGGAGCGUAAUACCCUACGCCUGCUUGUAUUUUGUUCCUCGGAAGAACAUGGUGAGAGGUUGGGGCUCUGGUACACGGGGGUUGAGAGAGAAUGGUUAGAUCCCCUACACAACUGCGGCUCAUCUCUCCUUGUAGUGCCUUGGUCCUCUUCCUCAAAAACGUGAGUGGGAAAGGGAAGCCACAAGCAAUUCAAAGGGUGACAAGGUUCCAAUCCUAUUUUGACCAAAGGUGGUAUUCUCCUGAUAAAGCAGUCUUCGGGACAAGACCGUGGGCUCAACGAUGACCACCGUCCUGCACCGCUGAACCCGUUUUGAUCCUCUAUCACCGAAACAGUAACCUUUUGCUAUGUGAUCUUGGAGGAGCAUCUUGUGCUGCCAUCUAGUCACCAAAGGGGCAAUCCUCUGUGCCUGUGCCCGCUGGCAUAACGUGUGUCGCCUUUCUCCGAGCAGAAGCUUCGCCCGCAUGAUGAGGGUAAGGCCCGGCGCUUGGAGACACGCAUCAGGGUUUGUGAGCACACCUCACGGGAGGGGCCUCAUAGGGCACCAUGGCAUGCGGAGGCCUUGGGACGACACGAGCNGGGUUCGCAGGACACGCCCUUCGUGAGGCGAAUCCCUCCGCGACAACUGGGGCAUGCUUUUAUUGUCUUGGCCGGCCUACGUGUCGUGCUCUGGGCCAGCAGCAAACGGGCCAUGGCACCCCGGGUUCCACUAGACUAACAACCCCCAAGAAGAAGGACUAUAGAAGUUCUCAAGGGGUGGCUCCUCCUAGGAAAUACACUCACACUAUUUUUUGGCAAUACCUAUUUGUAAUCAACCCCAACCCUAUGCGAUAGAUCAAGGAGUCACAAAUACCUCAUGGGUAAGGAAGGGACAAGGUAAUUAAUGAAUCAACGGACAUCAUCAUAGAUGUUCUUCACUCCAUGUCCAUCGAUACCCUUGUACUUGUUCCCUGUGUGGGACUAAACCCUUUAGGUGAGGAGAGUACAAAACAACAAGGAUAGCUCCCAACUCAAGAUGAUCUUCCUCAACAUAGAGCAUCAACUCAUGAAGUCGUCAACGACAAAACCCAAGGUUAGUUUGUCCCUCUUAGGGGGGAUAUCACAACAAGGGGGAUAUGUACUAUAAGACAUGAGUCAAAGCAUCUCACAAGGUGUGAACACAUUAAAAGCUUUAGGUAAAAGCGGUAACCCCAUUUGUGCUUAAGCGAUGAGUAUGACCUCAUGAAGCAUUCUUGCUUGGCUCCUUAAGUCAAUAUACUCAUAUAUAGAGGACUUCGUCAUCGCUAAAGUGAUUGGUAGAUACUAGAGUGCUUAUGCAUGUUUGAUAUUUUCUAUUUGAUAUCUUAUUGUGUGAGCAUGUGGGUAUGCAUAUUUUUAUCCAUUCGAGGACAUCCCAUUGUUCUAAUUUUUGGCUUUCAUUUUUUUCUAGCAAAUUGGAUGUACAAGAAUGCCUAGGUACCCUUCUAGAUCUCUAUGCUUUCUCGUCUCAAAUUCUAUUCAUGCUUCAUUACAAAAUUUGACCAAGAACACUUUGGACCCUAUAGGUGAGGAGAACUCUAAGUUACUGUUUUGACAAGGGCUGACUUCCAAACCCUCCCAAGUUUUUGUCUGUGUCACCACUUCUUAAAUCUUAGUUUCUCCAAACCACUAGGGCUGAUAUAGUCUUUCAAUCUCUAUACCACUGAUCUCUAAAUCUCGGCGUCAUCGAGUUUCUCUAUCAACAGGAAGUUAUGCAUCUUGGUGGAACCAAUUUUUUGGCUCGGUGUUAGCGAUAGUCGGUGGGUACAUAUAUCUCCGCGGGUGUCGGUGUACUAAUAAAUGGGGUCCUUAACACCUAGACUUAGGCACGAGAAACUGCGGCCCUCAGGCUGGCAACUCCUUGUCGAGCUCACACCAACCCCCGAAGCAUGCCAAAGAUAAGACCGAAGCAAGGUGGCAAGACUCUCACCAGUCAAUAAAGUCAUACACAAGAAAUGCUCUGCAAGAUUCUAGCCCACCAAGCCACUUAUCCACCUCACCAUGGGGUGAUAGUCUAUAUCAACUUAGGUGUCGAGCAGGCAGGUGGACAGGCGAGGCUGGCAGGGGCAAGUGCCCACAACAACGGGCCUAUUGUAGCUUUAAAGGCACCCGUCCUGCGGUGUGGUAGAGGAAUAGGAGGUAGCUGGGGGGACGGCACAGAAGGAGAGGCAAUCCUUGUCGAGGAAUGUCGCUAGCACGCCAUCUCAUGGUGCAUUCAAUGUGAGUGUCCUAGUCCGUUUGAUUUGGAUAUUUCCCACAACCUAUCCUGACAAGCAGUCUUUGUAGCUACAGUACAGACAAUACACCUAAGAAAUUACCAUUAUAGCCAUUGUGGUGACCCAUUGAAGCAUAAAAGGAUGCUUGGGGCUGCCUUUUAGGGGGUCGACACCCCGUUAAAUUGCACGUGUAGUUGCACCUCUCGAGCAUCCUUGCCGGGUUGUUGCGCUCUUGUACGUGAACUCACAUAAUCAACCAACACACAGAUAGGACGUAGGGUCUUACACUCCCGUGCGGCCCGAACCUGUAUAAAUCCCGCACGCAAUAUGAUCAUUGAUGCACUUUGUGCACUCGACGCCCGUCCAGAACCGUAAAGGCACCCCUUAGGUCCCAUAGAUCGUCCUGGAUGUCACACCCCGACCUUUAUGGCACACCAAAUAGGGGACAUUCCUAUGUGCGAAUCUUCACUGACAUUCCUGCAUGGCCUCAUCGAUGCCCAUGGCAAUCAAGAGGGCCAAGGGUGGCCCAAUGGUUGCCCCAUCGAUGUCCAAGCUACCCACGUCGUCCGCCGCAAAUGUGACGAAGACGGGAGCAGACACAAUGCAUAUCAAACUAGCAAGCAGAGACACAACACCACGUGGAGCUCCAUGAUCCACGACCUGGACCCUGCCGUCGUGAUAGCACAAAACAUGUCAACGGUGUCUCAGGGCGACACCAGGCGGAGGCUGUGAUCGGACGUUCAUCGUGCCCUUCACCAGACAACCGCGACCCGUGCCCGCGCGAUGAUGAGCUCGGUUAGCGCGCGGAAAAGACCGUUGCACAAAGGGUGCAAGGCUAGUCUCAACCACCUCCCCUGGUGAGGACAUCUUGGGGGCGACGGCGCGGGAAAUCGCUCCUUCUGGCCCUGCCUGGAGUAAGAGCGCUACCCAUGCCUCGCCCUGUCCAAUCCCUAGAACCACAGGGGAAGCUUUGGCACAUGCCCUGAUGUUCUGAACUCAACGCCUGUACCAGAGAUGAUGGAGGAGUGGAGGGCGACCAUACAAAGCUUACUAAGCUUCGCCAACAAUGACAAGCCACACACGACAUGUUUAUUGCACGCGCAGCGCGCGACUCCCGCGGGACCCACCAUCGGGUGCGAUGUUGGCGGAACACACACAAUUUAGUCACGCCCACUAUAGCAGCACACUUCCCGUCGGACCGACAUACAAGACGAGGUAUCUCAAGCCUCGAUGGACCCGCAGCUGAAGCAAGACCAGCGCCAAGAUUUGAAGGACAAGCGCAAGGAGUACGAGUGCACCACCAUCGAGAGGCGACGAGAAACACAUCGCGAAUCCAAUGGUCACAUUGAUCCAGCUAUCAACGAGCAUGUUCCACAGGCACUCGGUAGCCUACCAUAUGAGGUGGGUUGCUCGUCGUUGAGCUGUGGCAAGUCCACUAGCCCUCCAGUAGGGCAUUCAAGCCGGAGUUUCCAGACAAAUACGAUGGGAAUAUAAGUCCAUCAGAGUUCCUGGAUAUCUACACCAUUGCGGUACAGGCUGCCGGGGGACGAGACGAGAAAGUGCUUGCCAACUACUUCCCUCUGGCACUCAAGGCCAACGUGAGGAGUUGGCUGAUGAACUUGUGCAACAAGUUCUUCAGAUCUUACCAUGGGGGCCACAAGCUCUCGGGGCAGCGAAGCGAUCUGCGCAUUCUCACCCAGCGAGACAAUGAGACUCUUCGCAAGUACAUCCCGUGGUUCAGCUGUGUACAACACAACAUCCCGGACAUCCACCCUGCCACAGUGAUUUCUGCGUUUCACAUGAACGCACACAAUCGGUGCAUGCGCGAGGAGAUGAGCAUCAACAAGGUGCGGGACAUCUUCGUGCUCUAUUCUAUGACCAACAAGUGCGCGUGGGCUAAAGAAGGAAGAAGGCUCUCAGUGGAGGACACACGCGCGGCGGUCGACUCCGAUGUCGACGAGAACACAGCCGCCUCCUCAAAGAAGGGAUGCAAGCGCAACAAGAAGUACAAGGGAAAUGCAGUGAUGGCUGUCGAGAGCUCCAGCAAGCCUAACACCAAGAAGAAGGCCAAAUUCGAGGAGUAUGGCAAGGACGUUGCCGUUUUCUCCAAAGACGAUCAAGCUGCGGCAUGCGAGGAGACCGGCAAGCCGUACUGCAAGAUCCACCUCACCAAGGCCACGAAAUUACCGAAUGCCGCCUAGUAUUAAAGCUUGCUGAGAAGCAGAAGCAACAUUAAGGGCCAAGAUGGUGCCGGAGGGUCCGACAAGAAGAGCCGCAAUGGCUGAGGUAGCCGCCACGGCAAGGCCAAACAUCAGAAAGAGAAGCCUGCUAGAGGCUGAUACGACAAAUCUGACGGUGAUGAUGACAAUGAUAUGGAUGAAGAUGAAUACGACGGGGAAGAAUUCCAGAAGGCCAUAGAUGCUAUGUGUGUUGACGGAGGCGUUUCUUCGCACUCCUCCCACAAGCAUCUCAAGCAACGGGCCCGCGAUGUCAACGCAGUGGAACCGGCGACUGAAGAAAGGAAGCCCCUCAAGUGGUCCAACACUCCCAUCAUCUUCGAUGCUCACGACCACCCUGAUUGCAUCACCGCGGUCGGGUGCAUGCCGUUGUUGGUCUCAGCAACAAUUCAAAACCUCACAGUCACGAAGAUGUUGGUGGAUAGUGGGGCCGGCCUGAACCUCAUUUCACUCGAUAUGAUCAAGCGGCUACAGAUCCACGAUUUGGACCUCAAACAAACGGGCUCCUUCAAAGGAGUGGACGGGGGCACAUUUCAUCCAAAGGGAAAGAUAACUCUUCGAGUCACAUUUGAUAGCGUGGUCAAUAUCAAGACAAAGAGGUUUGUCUUCGAUGUCGCCAAGAUGUUGCUCCCAUAUAAUGGAAUAUUGGGCCGUCCAGCACUCAAAAAGUUCAUGUUGGAAUCCCACCACGCCUAUAACACACUUAAGAUGCCAAGGCUGAUGAUCAUCAUCACCAUCCAUGCGAAAAGGGACGUAGUCCUCCGCGUCGACAAGAUCUACCGGGAGGCAGUUGCAACAUACACCGGCGAGGCACCCGGUCCUACCAGCAACCCCCACCCCCCGAGGGGGCAGAACAAGUCCAAGACCCGUGGCAAGACUCAUGAAGAAUCCGAGAAGCGCGCCGCUAAGCACAGCAUGCCCGUCGAUGACUGACCUAGGACUUCUCCGUCGAGAGAAAGAAAAGUAAAUUGAUCAUCCCCAAGACGAAGCAAGUGGCUGCAUGAUGACCCACAAUUAUAGGGGAUCUAUCAUAGUCCUUUCGAUAAGUAGGAGUGUCUAACCCAAUGAGGAGCAGAAGGAAAUGACAAACAGUUUCCAGUAAGGUAUUAUGUGCAAGAACUGAAAUUAUCGGUAACAAAUAGUUUUGUGAUAAGGUAAUUCGAAACGGGUAGCAAGUAACAAAUGUAAAAAAGGUGCAGCAAGUUGGACCAAUCCUUUUUAUAUCAAAGGACAAGCCUGGAGAAACUCUUAUAUAAAGCAAAGUGCUCUCGAGGACACAUGGGAAUUUCCGUCAAGCUAGUUUUCAUCAUGCUCAUGUGAUUUGCGUUCGUUACUUUGAUAAUUCUAUAUGUGGGUGGACCGGUGCUUGGGUUCUGCCCUUAGUUGGACAAGCCUACCACUAAUGUUUAACCUCUCUCGCAAGCAUAUGCAACUACGAAAGAAGAAUUAAGAUAAAUCUAAGCAUAGCAUGAAACAUAUGGAUCCAAAUCAGCCCCUUACGAAGCAACCCAUAAACUACGCUUUAAGCUUCUGUCACUCUAGCAACCUAUCAUCUACUUAUUACUUCCCAAUGCCUUGCCCUAGGCCCAAAUAAUGGUGAAGUGUCAUGUAGUGGACGUUCACAUGACACCACUAGAGGAGACACAACAUACUUCUCAUCAAAAUAUCGAAUGAAUACCAAAUUCACAUGACUAGUUAUAGCAAGACUUAUCCCAUGUCCUCAGGAACAAACAUAAUUACUCACAAAGAAUAUUCAUGUUCAUAACUAGAGGAGUAUUAAUAAUCAUUAAGGAUCUUAAUAUAUUAUCUUCCACCAAGUAAACCAACUAGCAUCAACUACAAGAAGUAAUCAACACAACUAGCAACCCACAGGUACCAAUAUGAGGUUUUAAGACAAAGAUCAGAUACAAGAGAUGAACUAGGAUUAGGAGAGGAGAUGGUGCUGAUGAAGACGUUGAUGGAGAUUGACCCCCUCUCAAAGAGAGGAUCAUUAGUGAUGACAAUGGCUUCGAUUUCCCCUUCCGGGAGGGAGGUUACCCCGGCAGAAUAGCUCUGCCGGAGCUCUAGAUUGGUUCUCAUGAAGUUCCGCCUCGAGACGGCGGAGCUUCAUCCUGAAAGUUCUGAUAUGAUUUUUUCCAGGUCAAAACCCUUCGUAUAGCAGAAGAUGGGCACCGGAGGACUAUUCGGGGGGCCAAAAGCAUGCAGCGCACGCCGAGGGGGGUAGGCCGCGCCCCCUGACUUGUGGCCACCUGGUGGGUCACGUGAUGUAUUUCUUUCACCCAUUAUUUUUUAUAUAUUACAAAACAAUUCUUCGUAAUUCGUAUUUCUUUCACCCAUUCUCUAAGAUUUUCUCCUUUUCCUGUCCAGAAUUCCAGCUGCCGACAUUCUCCCUCUUCAUGUAAACCUUGUAAAAUAAGAGAGAAAAGGCAUAACUAUUGUACCAUAAUGUGUAUUAACAUCCCAUAAUGCAAUAAAUAUCGAUAUAAAAGCAAGAUGCAAAAUGGAUGUAUCACUGCACGAGAAGAUGGCGAGGGGGUAAUUUCAGCAUAAGUGCCACCCUCGACAGCAAAUAGCAAACCGCGCUCGUCUGCUUCCCGCGGGCGAAUGUCGACGUGUUGGCCUAGCAACCGUCUGACAUACCCAAUGUUCCCAGGGAGGUAAUCGAGCACCACCUUGCUGUCUGCCGUCAUGCGCGCCCCAUGAAGCAGAAGGUCUGAAAACAAGCACUAGAGAGACAAGAAUUUAUUGCUGAAGGUUAAAAAGUUGGAAGCAGCUGGUCUAGUCAGGGGUGUGCUCCACCCAACAUGGCUGGCAAAUCCUGUGGUGGUGCACAAGGCAAAUAGGAAGUGGAUGCUCUGCAUCGACUUCACAGAUGUUAACAAGGCAUGCCCAAAAUACUCCUUUUCCUUGUCGCGCAUCGACCAUAUAGUGACUAAACUUCCGACAGCGACCUGUUUUCGUUCCUCCAUUCCUACUCUAGUUAUCAUCAGAUCUUCAUGGUCGAGGAGGACGAAGAGAAAACAACAUUCAUCAUCCCUUGUGGAAAGUACAGCUUCAGGCGCAUGCCUUUUGGCCUAAAGAGUGCGGGUUCAACAUUUGGGAGUGCCUCCAAAAACGGUCUUGGAUCACAGCUACAUAGAAAUGUAGAGGCCUACAUGAAAGACUUUAUAGUCAAGACCAAGGAAAAAACCACGCUGGUCCAAGACCUAGAAGAGACCUUUGUGAAUUGGCGUAAAAUCAACUUGAAUCUCAACCCCAAGAAGUGCGUGUUCGGGGUCCCAUUCGGCAAGUUCCUGAGUUUCUCCAUAUCUCAGUGCAACUUCGCCAAGAUUGAGGCAAUCGAGCAACUGGGCGGCAUCGAAACGCGUCAAGGACGUAUGAUGAAUGCUGGGCUAUGUCGCUGCCCUUAGCAGGCUCAUCUCCAAAUCCAUAGAGCGUGCCCUCCCGAUUUCUAGGAUCUUGAAGAAUGCAGGCCUAAUGACAUGGACUCCGGAAGCAGAGGCAACAUUGCAAGACUAGAAGAAGUACAUGUCCUCGUCCUCGGUCCUAAUUGCGCCCAAGCCUGAGGAACCGUUACUGUUAUAUUUGGCAGCAAUGAACCACGCGGUUAGUGUUGCACUAGUGGCCAACCCCGAUGAUAAAAAAAAUCAACACAGAAGAAGCAAGGGAAGCGGAACAUCGAUCAGUGUAGAAGAACAAGGUGGUGCAGCGACCGGUGUACUUUGUCAGCUGUCUCCUACAUGGGGCUUGGUCAAGGUACUCUGGGAUUCAAAAACCUCUCUUCGGCCUCCUCGUGGCCUCCUGCAAGUAGCGCCACUACUUCCAAGCGCACCGCAUCACAGUCGUCACCCGCUUCCCGUUGUAGUGGAUCCUAAAGAAUCUGGAGGCAACCAUCUGGAUUGUUGAGUGGGCCCUGGAACUGGCCAGUUUUGAGCUGAACUUUGAAAGCGCGGCGACCAUAAAGAACCGAGCACUGGCAGUGUUUGUUGCCGAACGGAUGACAAAACCAUAUGAAGAAAUCCCGGAGAUAGCCCUUCCCACCAAGGAAACACCUCAGGCAUGGGUCAUGUACUUUGAUGGAGCUUUCUCGCUUCAAGGCGCGAGUGCUGGAGUACUGGUCAUAACACCCACCAGAGAGGACAUCAAGUAUGUGAUACAAAUGCCCUUCACUCAGGAGGGCGAAACAAACAACACAACUAAGUAUGAGUGUUUGCUUCUCGGGCUGCGGAUAGCAGCAAAGUUGGGGAUCACGAAGUCAAUAGUCCGAGGGGACUCAUAGUAGCCACAAGACAGCACCUCUAGUAUGUGAUCCAAAUGCACUUCCCUCGGGAGGUGUCAACCAACUACACAACUAAGUACGAUGGUUUCAUUGUUGGGCUGCUAAUAGCAGCAGAGUUGGGGAUCAGGAAGUUAAUAGUCCAAGGGAACUCAAAGUUGGUUGUGUGCUCAUGUCCCACAAGCGUAUGGGAUCGCAACAGUUUUCGAGGGUAGAGUAUUCAACACAAAUUUAUUGAUUCGUCAAGACGGGAAGCGAAAGAAUAUUCUCAAGUAUUAGCAGCUGAAUAUGUCAGAUUCAACCACACCUAAAAGAUUAGUGUCUGCAAGCAAAGUAUCAGUAGCAAGGUAGUAUGAUAGCAACGGUGUCAGAAACAAUCUGUUGACACGGCAGACUAUUCCUAACUGUUGUAUCAAUGGCGCCAGCACGGUGAUGGAGGAUUAUUCUUGAGAAGAAUGCUUCCCCGGCUACUGCUCCAAUAAAGUCUUGCAACAAGUAACAGCGGAGUAGCAAGGAACAGGAGUAGCAGCAGCAGAGUAACAAGUAACAGCAGUAGUGACAGCAGCAACAAAGUGGCCCAAUCCCUUUUGUAGCAAGGGACAAGCCUAGACAAAGUAACGUAGCAGGGACCAGUAGUAAAAGACUCGUAGGCAGUGGAUCCGAGAUGGAUGAGUAUGAAGGAUGUGAUUCAUCAUGUAACAGCUAUACCACGGAGAGAUAUGUGGCUAGCUCCCGUUCGUCAAUCUAAUGUAGGCAUGUAUUCCGUAUGUAGUCAUACAUGCUUAGGGAAAAGAACUUGCAUGCCAUCUAUUGUCCAUCCCUCCCGUGGCAGCAGGGUCCUAAUGGAAACUACGGGAUAUUAAGGUUCUCCUUUUAAUAAAGAACCGGACCAACGCAUUAACACGCGGUGAAUACAUGAACUCCUCAUACUAUGGUCAUCUCCGGGAGUGGUUCCAGCUAUUGUCACUCCGGGGUUGCCGGGUCAUAACACAUAGUAGGUGACUACAACUUGCAAGAUAGGAUCUAAAACACACAUAUAUUGGCGACAACAUAAUAGGUUCAGAUCUUAAAUCAUGGCACUCGGGCCCUAGUGACAAGCAUUAAGCAUAGCCAAGUAGUAGCAACAUUAAUCUAGAACAUAGUGGAUACUAGGGAUCAAUCCCCAUCAAGAACUAACUCGAUUACUCACGAUGAUAUUACUCACGAACGAUGAAGAGCAUCAUGGAAUUGUCAAUGGAGAAAGGUUGAUGAUGACGUUGGUGCUUAACAUUUGUAUUUAUGUGGUGAGGAUGGACCCAUGCUAUAUUUAUAUGACAAAAUGAAUAGGGGAUGAACGUUCUUUAAGGAUCGUAUGCUUUGAAACUUGAUGAUUACGUUGCUUAUGUUUAUCAGCAAUACAAUGUUGAUGUUUAUUAAUUCAUCUUUUCUUAGUGAUCAAACCUACAAUAGAUUACAAGUUGGGUAGCAUGUAACAUCAAAAAUUCUGUUUUUAUCAUUUACCUACUCGAGGACGAGCAUGAAAUAGGCUUGGGGAUGCUGAUACAUCUCCAAUGUAUCUAUACUUUUUGAUUGUUCCAUGUUGUUGUAUGAUCAUUAUAGGAUACGUUUUGGGAGUUUAUUUACCAAUUAAAAUAUUUUUGAGCACUAUCCUAUUAACCCAGUGCCGAGUGCCAAUUGUUGUUUUUUGUAUGUUUUUGGCUUUUCAGGUUUACCAAACGAAGUCAAGUCGCCACAAAACUUUUUGGUGAAUUUUUCUGGACCAAAACAAGACCUGGGAGCUUAAGGAGGAGGGUAGAAGCCUCACGACGGACGCACGAGCAAAUAGGGCACGACCAGGGCCUAGGGUGCGCCCUCUUGCCUCGUGCCCCCCUCGGUUGCCACUUGGCAUACCUAUUUGUCAUAUAAAUUCACAUAUAUCCCAAAAACCCAAGAGAACAACCCGAAAUAUUUUUUCUGUCGCCGCAAGUCUCUAUUAUGCCGUGUGCCCAUCUGGAGCCGUCCUCCGGCGCCUUGUCGGAGGGGGGAUUGAUCAUGGAGGGCCUCUACAUCAUCCUUGCUACUCCCAUGCUGAUGUGUGAGUAAUGCACCAUAGACCUACGGGUUAGUAGCUAGUACCUAGAUAGCUAUCUCUCUCUCCUGAUCUCCAAUACAAUGAUCAUCACAUCUUAACAUUGAUCUAUCCGAUGUAAUUCUUUUGUGCGAUGGGUUUCUUGGGAUCUGAUGAAUUGUGGGUUUAUGUUCAAAUUAUUCUUGAUACAUAUUUGAGUCUUCUCUAAAUUCUAAAUAUGAUUCUUAUGUGCAUGAUCAUCAUAGCUUCGUAAAUCUCUUCGAUCUAUUGGUUUUCUUUGGCCAAGUAGAUUUAUAUUUAUUUAGUGAGAGGGGUGCGAUGUAGUGGGUUCAAUCUGUUGGAUUCCUAUAUCCCAGUGACAGAAGGGGACAAUAUACUUCUUUGCAUUGUUUCCACUAAGUAUAAAACAAUGGGGUUAGUUCAUAUUAAUUGACUUCUCUUUGUCUACAUCAUGUCAAUGUUCUCCAAGCAUUACGCUAUUUUACUUAAUACUCUAGAAGCAUGCUGGAUAGAGGUUAAUGGGUGGAGUAGUAGUAAGAGAUGAAUAUCACAUAACUAUGCGCUUUUCUUUGAAUUGCUGAACAAUAAUUUGUUACCCACCGUAUUCUUGCUUUAAUGAGAGAUGCUAGUAGGUAAAACUAUGACCCCCCAGAAUAAUUCAGUUAUAAGUUUACAAACGCUACAAUAGCAAGUUGUCUUAUUUAAUUUUUAUUUACUUUUCACUUUGCAACUUCUAUGUACACACUUUACUUGCUUGCAAAUAACGAGACAAGGGGAUCAAAAACCAUCUUGCCCAUGUUGGGUGGAAGUAUUUGUUUCUUCUCUGUGCAACCGCUAAAGACGAGGGUUGGUUGUUACUCCUAUUGGUUAUAUAAACCAUGGUUCUCUUAUGAGGGAAAUACUUACCUAUAUUAUGCAGCAUCACCUGUUCUUCUCCACAAAAAACACAAUGCAGAUCACAAGUAUCAGACGCGAGAAGGAAUAAUCCUCAUUCUUCCAAGAUCACUCAGAGUUCCCAGUAUAUACGCACACGAGUUACUAGGAUGUCUCUCCCGAGAGACCAUCGAAUGCCACCAGAUGUCACAUAGCAUCCAUGCUAGUCCGAUCAUUCGGAAAUCUUCAAUCCUGAAUUUGUUGUGGCUUCAUCUUGGGAGCGAGUGUAAAAGCCCUGAGCUACUUUCUGGACGCCUUGAAGGCACCGAUGACAUCUCGAAGUGUCUUUCACUGGACCAAUUAAAUCUCAACCGAUUCGGGGGCUAAAGAUGGGGUCACCUACUAGUGGUAGGGUCAUGGACUAGACAUCUAGGACCCAUGUGGGGCCCCACAUGGCCAUUGAAGUCUCGGGACUACAUAUGCAUUCAGAUGCAUACACUGGAUCCACUCGGACCCAUGGGGUCACUCACAUGUCUUCGAAUGAGUCGGCCAUACACUAGCACUCGGACAGAGACAAGCAUGGACGAUGUGGUAGCUUCAAUGGCCAAGGGACUCAAAACCAUACAUGAAGUAUAGUUGUAUGUGCAUCUAGUGCACCUUAGUGACUUUGCUGGUUUGAAGACUUAUAGGUUGAGAGACUGAUAUGUUUGUGAGUGUACACAGGCUCUAUAAGUCGCUGAGGAGAUUGAGUUAUUCGAUGAAUAUCGACCCCUAAAAAUGAAUGUCUUCGGGUGAAGACUUUGGUCAUUACUUCAAGACUUUGAUCGCGAAGAAAUUCCAAAGAAAUUGAUAUUUGUCAUGAAGAUAUUGAAGAUGAGAAAUUCGGUGUGUUUUGAAGAAGACACUCUGAAGACUUUGGAGCGUGAAGAUUUACUCUUUCUGUUUCAUUUUUUUUACACUUGAGUCAUAGCAAUACCGUACUGUUAAAGGGGGUCGAGGAAAAACAAUGGAACGAAUUUCCUCAUGAUGCUCAACCCAAGCCUAAAUCUACCAAAGCCUCAAAGUGAGGAAUAUGAGGGACAUGAGGACUUUCACAAUUGAAAGUUCCGACUGUUGCCGCGCCACGUGCCACCUGUCACAGAUCUUAUCCACCCAACGGUCAUAUUAUUAAAAGGCAUUUAUGUCAAAUCAUGUCGGGAUGCGCCCAAGCUAUAAAUUGCCGCCCCCACAACCACUUGCUGGUGGGCUGCUCGGAGAGAAACUCACACCAGUCAUUUAGAGCAACCCAAAUUCCUCAGAGUCUUCAAGAGAAAAUCAUCAAGUGAGGAAAUAGCCGAAACACGAAACCCAAACCAAAAACCCAAGUGAUUGAGCAUCACUUAAGAAGUUGUUCCUGUGUGGAACUGGCGCUUAUUACCUUUUAGGACUGUGUAUCCUCCAUAUAGCUAGGCGUCAUGGUCCACAGCAUCCAGCAGUCAAUUGUGGAUCAUCGGGUGACCAAGUUUGUGAGGGUUUGGAAGUCUACCCUGAAGACUUACCACGAGUGUUGGGCUAGGACUGUGUGUCGUUAGCCAAGGAGAAUAUGGUAGGGACUGUGUGUCCUUUGGUUUCAGUACCAAGACGCUCCGAAUCAGACGUACAACUGUCACAACAGUUGGAACUGGGCCAUCAACAACUGUCUUCAUCACGCUAUGGGUUCUAUUUCUUCAACUCUCUCAUUUCCUCAAUUUUAUGCUGAAGACUCUCAUCUCAACUGUUUGAAGAAUUUGUCUGAAGACUUCCUCUGAAUUUCCUCAACCUGAAAUUCUUCACCUGAUUUAAUCUUCACCUGCUUAUCUAGUACUUGUGACCUAUGCAAACCGAAUCUCUGAAAUCUUGCUGAGUACUUUGUUGUACACGUUUUUGCGCCCCUGAUUUGGUUCUACUUCCGCUGCACUUAGUUCAUGAGUGAGGACUUUCCUCACUACGAAGUUCCUCAGUGAUGAAAUUGUAAAGAUCUCCUGUUCAACCCCCUCUAGUCGAUAUAAUGCACUUUCAAUUGGCAUCACAACAAGGUACUCCCUUGUUCUGUGUGAUUUUGGUUUAACUGCGUGGAGUUUUAGUUAUGUUGACCGCAGGUAUGAUCAAAGUUACUGCAGGAUGUCCUACCUUCGAAGGAAAGGACUUCCCCUACUGGAAUACCAAGAUGCAAAUGCAUCUUUAGGCAAUUGACAAUGAUCUCUGGUAUAUUGUGGAAAAUGCAUUCCCUCCAUCACUUCUACUAUCUCUACCGUUGAUGUGAAGAAGCGCAAAACUUGACUCGCAAGCGAAGAAUAUCAUCUGUGGUCAUCUGAGCAAAGGUCACUAUGGCAAAGUGAGUGCUUUGGGCACAACUAAGCUUAUCUGGGAUAGGCUGUCCAAAAUCAAUGAGGGAGUCUCAACAUAGCGUGACUCUCGUGUCGAUGUUCUUCGCAAUCUCUUAAAUCUCUUCAAGAGGCUUGACAAUGAAAGCUGUCGAGAUACAGUUGAUCGCCUCACUAACAUCUCAAAUGAACUGCAAGCACUCGGAGCUAGAGACAUCACUGACCGUGAAGUGGUGAAGGAACUGCUACGGUCUCUUGACGCAUCAUUUGACACACUAGUUGUGAUGAUACAAGAACAAAGAGACUCAAUACUCAUGAAUUCCAACAAGAAGAGAAGAGAGAUCUGUAUGGACCAAGCUACUCAAGAUCUCGUGCGCUGAAGGCUAAGGCUAUUUCCUCAUCUGAUGAAGAAGAAUCUGAUUGCAGUCUUGGUGACCCUGAAGAACUGGGACAUGAAUUUUCUAUGCUCGUGAGGAAAUUCCAGAAGUUCACAAAACGUGGCCAGUUCGGAAAAUAUUCAAGAAAAGAUAUGAGUAAAUCAUAAUCUUAAUCUAAGGACUACAAGAAAAGAACCUGCCACAAAUGGAAGAAAUCUUGUCACUACAUUGCUGAUUGUCCUCGCUGGGUGAAAGAAUCAAGGAAGAAGAAAUACAACGGUGAAAGUUCUGAUGACUCGAAGAAAAAGAAGAAGUCUUCAAAAUCCUCAUCUUCAAAGUCCUCAUCGCACAAGAAGACCACUUUGAGAAAGGCUCGGGAACUCAUUGACAAGGAAAUGGAUUCUGAAGAAGAAUAUGAGGAAUGUGAUGAAGAGGAAGGUUAUGAAGUGGAGUUAGAGUCUGGUGUGGCAAGUCCUGCACUAGCUACCACAUUCGUCAGCAAGUAGUCUUCAACCUUGAAGAAAAUGACAACGCUAUCUACACUGAUGAAUAUGCUAAUGACUUUGCUCCAACCUAUUGCUUCAUGGCAAAAGGUUGAAAGGUACCAAACCACACUUCCUCCUCUGAUUCUAGUGAUUGUGAAACUGAUGAUUAUCAAAAACCGAGUUCCUAUAAACUUGCCAACAUUGCCACUAAGAAACAAAGUGCCAUUGAAAAGCAUCAGAAACUGCUAGAGAAGAGCGAUGAUCUUUUGAACGAUGAAAUGAAUCGUACUCAAGUCCUCACUGAAUAUGUAAAAAGUCUUUAGUCUAGAUUUGAUAGUCUUCAAGAUCGUUAUGGCACACUCUUGGCUGAUCAUGACAAACUUUCCUAUGAAUUUCUUCAAAGGAAGGUUGAUCUUGAGAAGUUAAGAAUGUCUCAUGGUGAUAUUCGAAUGGAAAAUGAUUCAUUGCUUGCUCAACAGAUCAAUACCGCUCAAGUUGAAUUCAUUCCACCAUGUGUGAAAUGCAUAGAGCGUGAAACUGCUAAUUCUUCACCAGAAUCAUCAAAUGCUUCUAUUGCUACAAAUUCUUCAAUUAUUCCUGUGGUAUCAAAUUCUUCACUUCAGGAAACCACAAAUGCUACUGACAAAAAUACAGGGUUGAAGGAAUUGUAUGUGACAGGCAUAUUAAAAAGUCACAAAGGGCAUCAAACCCUUUGCUAUGUGGUCAAAAAGCAUAUUGUGAACAGGAACCCGAGGAAAGAGGGCAUUGCCUUCGAGACGAAACUAAAUGCUGAUGUAUCAUACUGGAAACCUGAGCAGUAUCCCAAAACCUCAUGGGUUGCUACUGAAGGACCUCCAAUUGAUCCAUCCACUCUAACAGGCUUUGCAUAUGAAAUGUCUUAUUCCUCUGAUGAGUCAUUUGAGUCCAACUAUAAACUGUUUAAAAAUCAAUCUGGUGAAGUGUUUUCUCGAUAUGUUGGAACUAACUACAGAAAUGGACCUCCUCUGAGGAAAGUCUUGGUUCCCAAAAGUUGGUUGGAAAAUAUUUAGAUGAAUGUCCUGAUGACACCACAUGUGAAGAACCAGAACCCCAGAUCAAAUUCUUCAGGUGGACCAAAGUCUUCACGAGGAUCAAAUUCCUCAAAUGGUCAAAAUUUUGCUAGUACUAGCACUAAUGCUUCUGAUAUGCAUGGAAAUUAGAAGGGACAUGAAUAUGAGCAUUAUUCCUCAAAUCAUUAUGUUCAUAAGUCCUCAAAGAAUUUCUGUGCCUAUGCAUUUGAGUCCUCUAACCCCCCUACUGUGAAAAGAAGUGCAUUAGCUUCAAUGCCUCCAUUCUCAUAUGGUGCUCGCAAGAUGAUGAACUCUUUGCCACCCCAUCAUAUAUGGGUGGUGAAUAAAUCAAACUAAUCACUUUUGCAUGUCAGGUCUUCACAUGAAAGUCAUCAUCUGAAGAAUUUGCUGGAGACCUGAGAUAAUUGCUUGUUUGGACACAAGCUAACUUUGAUGAAACUUUUGCACCUGUUGCUAGACUUGAAGCUAUUCGAAUAUUACUUGCUUAUGCUAACCAUCACAAUAUUAAUCUAUAUCAAAUGGAUGUGAAAAGUGCAUUCCUCAAUGGUAAGCUUGAGGAAGAAGUAUAUGUUGCUCAGCCCCUAUGUUUUGAAGACCCGAAGCAUCCUGACAAAGUCUUCAGACUCAAAAAGGGACUCUAUGGCCUCAAGCAAGCCCCUCGGGUGUGGUAUGAUACAUUGAAGGAAUUCCUCAUGAAGGAAGGCUUCAAUCCCGGUUCACUCGAUCCUACUCUUUUAACAAAAUCCUAUGAUAGUGAACUAUUUGUGUGCCAAAUAUAUGUCGACGACAUUAUUUUUUGUCAUACUUACCAACGUUGGAGUGAUGAAUUUUCCUACAUGAUGGGUGAAUAAUAGCAAAUGUCCAUGAUGAGGGAGCUAAAACUCUUAUUAGGUCUGCAAAUUCGUCAACAACGCAAUGUCAUCUUCAUAUCUCAGGAGAAAUAACUCAAGGAUGUUGUGUGGAAAUUCGGCACGCAUGAAUGCAAAGGCGUCAAGAUUCCAAUGCCUACCAAAAGCUACCUCCGCACUAACAAAAAUGGUAAAGAUUUCGAUCAGUAGGUAUAUCGUUCUAUGAUUGGCUAUUUAUUGCACCUAUGUGCAUCUAGGACACAUAUUAUGCUUAGUGUUUGCAUGUGUGCACGUUUUCAAGCAAAGGCUGUGAAACAUAUUCGUCAACAACGCAAUGUCAUCUUCAUAUCUCAGGAGGAAUCACACCAUAAGGCUGUGAAACAUAUUCUUCGAUAUCUAGCUCACACACCAACACUAGGAUUAUGGACCCCAAGGGCUCAAAUCUUCACUUCGUUGGAUAUUCUGAUUCUGAUUAUUAUGGUGACCGUGUGGAUCGCCAGGCAACAUCAGGAACAUGUCAUUUCCUCGGAAGAUCAUUAGUCUGUUGGUCCUCAAAGAAGCAAAACUGUUUAUGACUCUCCACAAUCGAAGCUGAAUACAUUGCUGCUGGAUCUUGCUGUGCUCAAUUGCUAUGGAUGAAGCAAACCCUCAGAGACUACGACAUCAACAUGAAGAAUGUUCCCCUCUACUGCGACAAUGACAGUGCAAUCAAGAUUUCCUACAACCCAAUACAACACUCGAAGAAUAAGCACAUCCAUAUUUGUCAUCAUUUUCUUUGUGACCAUGUACUCAAGGGCAAUAUCAUCAUCGACCAUGUGAAGACUGAUGACCAGCUAGAUGAUAUCUUCACAAAGCCCUUGCAUGAGAGAAGGUUUUGCAAGUUACGGUGUGAGCUAAAUAUCCUAGAAUCUUCAAAUGUCUUGUAGACAUGCAAAAAUCCUAACAUUUAUGCAAUAUUGAUGACUUAGAUGUGAAACACACAAAGGAACGAUUUUCUUCAAUCAAUGAAGAAUAUCACUCUAAGUGUGAAGAAAUCAAUGAACAAUUUGGUUCUCACGGCCCAACGACAAUUGUACGCGACGCCUGAAAUCAUGAUUCUUAUACGGUGGGUCACGCCACCACCCAACGUUGAAGUUCUUCAAGUUGGAAAUUCGUCAAAGUUGGAAUUCUUCAAUCUGAGAUUUUUUUACAAAUUCCUCAAAAUUUUCAAAGUAUACAAUAAUCUUUAAAUUCUUCAAAACAUUCUGUGAUGAUCUUCAUUUGAAUAUACAUACAUACAUAUAUAUAUAUAUGUAUGUAUGUAUAUAUUAUAAUGAUCUUUCAAUGUCAUCAACAACAUUCAGUUAUUGCUCAGUCUCCAAUUUGGUAUUUCUUCUAAGUGAAUGUGAUCGGACCCAUCUCCCCUCUAUGCUAAGCUCAACCCAGUCUAUUUUCAGUUCUUCAUAUGCAUUCUGUUUGACACUUGUUCAAAAUCAUCACGGAGUCCUUGUCAGCCGAUGACUUUGAAACAAAAUCUUCAAAAUUCAAAAAUUUAUUUUAACGUACCACACUAAUCGCACCCACUACUCAUGAACGAAUAACGACUAUCUCCACCGCUUCGAUCGUGGGUAGCACGUUUCAUGCGAAGACAACGGGGCGAGGGCAGUUCCGCCCGAAUUUUUUGCUUCAGACCAUUUUCACCUAAGCCAUAAAUAGCCCAUUACCCCCCUCUGUCAAAAACUCUUCCUCCCUCUCGCCUUCUCCACUCGAUCUCAAAACCUAGUGCCACUGCUAGCAUCUUCGUCACCAGUGAGGAAAAGCUUCACUGUCUCGCCCUCGCCAUCGCCGGACUCACGCCGACUGCGGAACAUCUUCCUCCGGCACUGUCGUAGCUGUCUUCAGUCACCAAGUUAUGGCACUGAAGAUCUGGACCGAAGAACUUCUACUUUUACUUCCCCAGUUCAUCUUGUUCUUCGCACAGGUUAAUUAAAAUCCUAUUUUACUGCCCCUAUUGAUCUCUUUAUUCUCUUAAGAUUUGUGAAAUCAGAUUUUCCUCAGAAAAGCUCUCAGCUGUGCACACCCAUGGAUAGAACAGUUGAUGAAUUUCACUAAGCCACUAAAUUCUUCACGACAUUCCUCAAUUGUGCAAAUUUUCGAAUCUGCACAACUGUGGAACCCAAGAUCCUNNNNNNNNNNNNNNNNNNNNNNNNNNNNNNNNNNNNNNNNNNNNNNNNNNNNNNNNNNNNNNNNNNNNNNNNNNNNNNNNNNNNNNNNNNNNNNNNNNNNUUCAGAAUGUGAACACAUAAUGAAAAUGAUGCCAUCAUGAAGGGCUCGACGAGACGUGGGCGUUGGUUCCACCUGAUCGGAGAUACGAGCGAAAAGUUAUAGCCGUUUGAAGUCCAGGGACCAAUCUUUAAAUAAGAUAUUCACAACCAAUCUUUAAAUAAGAUAUUCACAAACAGGACCCUCGGGGCUGACCCGAAAGCGCACUCAGCCGAAAUACGUUUUCCGAAAAGAAAAACGUAAACUUAGCCGCGGUAACAGGAAAUACGCUUUCUCAAGCGCAUUUACCGCAGUGCGCUUCCACUUAAACAGCAUUUACCGCAGUGCGCUUCUACUUAAACAACACGGCCCCGAGCCCGGUCGUCAGCCACUGUACCCCCUCGCCGGGUCGCUUACACGCGGUCCUCACCCCACCUUCUAUCUCCUCCUCCAUGUCUCCUUCC
rnacentral:lncRNA from 1 species